ensembl:lncRNA
AUCUCUUACUGGAGAUUGUUCCCUUUGUAGUUUUUCUGUGAGUGUAGGACACAGGUUUACUGUGAACUCUUCCUUCUCCAACCCUACCUCCCAUAUCUUGGCUCUGAAAGCUUCUCCAGCUGAAUCAGUCUAGCAGCUCUUGGUGAAGAGGGAUUCUCCUUUCCAACAACUUCAAAUUUCAACCAGGCUUUGCCAACCAGCAUAAGUUAAUUAAGCAGCUUUACACUCUUCUGCCUGUCCAUGUGCUCUUCAAGAAAGUUCUCAGUAUAAGUACUAACACAGUAAGAAUCCGUAACCUCUGUUUUGUACUGCCAUGCCUCACCUGCAAGGCUGCUCUAGAUCCACACUGCUUUCCCAGUUAAUUGAUUUCUUCUUAAUCAGCCCAAGGUUUAUUUUUGGGCAAUUCAUAUCUAUUGUUAUUUUGGGGAUUAUGUGCCAACUAGUGCAGAAGGGCCAGGUACUGGAAAAAAAUAAUUUCACAGAAUCUUACAUUGCCUAGAAAAUAUCUGAAUGCUACAGAACCAUUGUUCACUUGUUGCAGUGAUUCCUCACCAAUCUCUCUGAAAUUAAAAUGAACUCUUCCUUUUUUUUUUUUAAUAAGUAAAAUCUUUUUGUGUGCACGUAUGUGAGGUCCUUGAGAUUUCUCACUGAUGAAGCAAUCUCUGAGCUCAAAAAGCAGUAGCCUACUGCUAGGUAUCAACUUGUGAGCUAUAGCAGGCUCUAUACAGAGAGGCACCUCACAAGGAAGGGCUAGUAACCUCAUAUAUGAAUCUCAUAGUGUAGAUCCAUGUAGAUUUACUACCUUGGAUUUGGAAACAAUAUAUGUGCUUUUGCAUAAAUCGAUGUCCAGUUAGUGAAGGCUAACUGUGCUCUAGAUGUCUAUAAGCAGCAGCAAAGUCCACCCUGUCUCUUUUCCAAGACCAAGCAAGAACAGGUAACCAGACCAAACAAUUCAUCCUUUCAUCUCUUCAGAGAAUUUCAGCGUUGAAUAGGAAAAGGUUUGUCUAUAAUGAUCUCCUGAAAAAAAAAUACCAUUGAAACCUCUUAUUCUGAGUAAGCUUUUAAAUGAUUUUAAGCUUUAUUGCAAAUUGCCCUAAAGACAUCUUAGCAUGACAUGGCAUACAUUUGUUGCCCACGACAUUUAUUUUAAUUCCUGCAGCAUGACAGCUUGCCUUAGUAUCUGCAGUGUGAUUUGAGAAAGGAACAAAACACAAACAAAUGUUAAUGUGCCAUAUGCAAACAAUAUUUAAAUUUGCUGUUGGCAGCAGAAUUCAGAGCAUUAUUCAGGAAAAUUCCAGCCAUGACCCUUAUCAAAAAUGUCAGUCUGUAGUGAAAUACUUGCAUCUAUAUGAAAAUAAAUCUGCAUGCUUUUUAAAAUAAGCUUCGAUUGGGAUAUGGGUUUUGUUCCUGUUUUUGUUCUGUAUCAGUUUUGUUUUACUUACGGUUACUUAUAUGAUGUUGAAAUAUAUCAGAUUUAUUAACAAAGCACUGAAUUGUAUAUUUUAUACUGAGACCAAGAUGGAUUUCAUCCACUGCAAUGAUUACAGAGCAAGACAUUAAUUUCACUUUUAAUUUCAGAAUUUCACAUAACAUAUGAGACAAGUUCUCUGAGAGACUAACCCUGGUAGGGCAGAAUCUUUGCUUAUGCAAAUAGACUUUUAAGUAGAAGUGAAUCUAUUCACCAAAUUUUAAAAAGUGAGACUUUUUGGAAGGAGUGUUGCGUUAAAUGCAACAUGCCUGUGUAUUGGAGUGAGAGGAGUGCAGGGAAUAGUGGGGGCAGAGUGCACCAAGAGGGGUAAGCUUAGCUACAGUCCUUGUAAUCAUUCUGUGUAGGAAUUAUUCUACAAGAAAAAUCAGAUGAAUUAACACACUGAUUGGCAAGUCUGAUUUCUGAUGAAAGUUCAUUUCCAGGAGAAAAUUUGUUGGAACUGCAAAAUAAGUCUUGAAGUAGAAGAUCUGAUAUUAUAAUAUAGCCAGCAAAACAUAUAGUCCCUAAUGUUUUCUAUUGACACUGAAGCAAUUCAUUCUGAUAACCUCAAAUAACAAUGUAGAUCAUGGUCCACAGUAUUCAAUGUACUGAAUGCUGAAAUAAAACAGCAAAUUCCUGGGGAAAUUGUGGAUGAGGAUGAGUAGCUGUAGUGCUCUUUUCUUAUCAAGAAGCAAUGGAGAGGUCCCCAAAGAGCUCAGCCCUGUCUCUCCUCUGGCAGUGAGGAGAAUACCACCACACCCCUAAUGUGUAGUCUACUGGAUGUAACCAUUAUAAUACACCAAAAUAGUCAAACACUAAUCUGAUAUCAUCAAAAGAAAAGUUUUCAGUCUUGUUGAAACAGAAGGUAAACAUUAACAUUAGGAUCCAAGGGAUCAGCAUAAAGCUGCAUCAGAAGAAGUUCAGACUAGAUUUUAGGAAAAGGUUCGUUGCUGGGAUGGUAGUCAGGCCCCCUAGGGCACUAGUCAUGGCACCAAGCCUGCCGGCACGUGGACAAUGCUCUCAGACAUCUGGUUGAAUUUUUAGGUAGUUCUGUGUGGAGCCAAGAGUUGGACUCUGUGAUUCUUGUGGGUUCCUUCCAGCCCUAGAUUGGUUCUAGGAUUCUGUGAUUUUUUCCCAGUGGCUUCUGAUGAUGUUAUAUCAUAUAUAGCUUUUUGAUCAUGCAAUGUUGUCAGCACUAUAUACAUGUGUGUGUAUGUACCCUGUGAGUGUGUUUGUGUGGCCAGAAAACUCUUCAAGGUUUUUCAAUUAGCAAUAACAGCAUAUAAUUACCUCUUUUUGGUCAGAUUCUUCUAAUGUUUUUUUUCCAUCCAAAAUAAAAUGCAGCCAGCACAUUUAGUUCCAUAAAUAUUCAUCACCGGUAUCUGUAUAAUGUUUAUUCCUAACUGACUGUGCUGGGGAGAGGGAUAUUUACUUAUGUGUUCUGUAUUCAUCAGUGCUGUGGCACUGAUUAGUCUUUAAAAUCUGGAAAGUUUUGUAUAGUUCAGGUAGAUUUUGUUCAUACUGUGAUGGAAAUCUAAUCGCGUUUUAAGAUUUUUUGCUAUACUGAUUUUACUAAAGUGAUUUUUGUGUUAGGACAAAGAUGGUAUAUCAGUGUUCAGUAUUACCAUUCUAGGUAAAAGCAUAACAUCCUAACAAAUACAGUCCUUGAUCU